GACCUAGGAUGAAAAUGCCAGUCAUUGUUAUCUUUAGAACUGCGAGGAUAACGAUAUACACAGAAUUCCUAGAAUGAACCAUUACUUAAGGUGUUUGAACUUCAGUGCCAAACAUUUCGAGGCCACAGGGCAGCAUAUACACUGAUAAUUGUCCAGGAGAGUGGACAUUUGAUGCAUCCUUCUGAAGAAAACACUGGCAUUGCCUAGCAAAGCUAUGGCCAUCCUACCUUCCACUCGGGGUUCUUACUUCUAGCACUCUGCUCUGAAGACUGAUGACCAUUAAAUAAUAGUAAAAUACAUGUGAGCAAGGGCCAUGGUAGUGGCUGCACCUAGGUCACUCUCCAUAGUCUGAAACUAUGGAAUGCUGGAAGCAACUCAUCUGCUCUCACUCACAGGGGAGUAACUGUGUUCCACCCACACAAUGGUUUCCUGGGCAACUGUGAAAAGAAGGAAGAAAACCCCAAGGCAGUGCUAACUAGGAAAAGCUCUCCAGAAAGACAUAGCAGGAAGGAGACAGGGAGAACGCAUACACGUUUCUACAGUUCUGAGCCAAGAGUGAGGAAGGCUGAACAGGAAACUGGACAGGUGAGGACUUGAGGGCCAGGGGAGGACCAGACUCGGGAGAGUUAGUUCCUCAGGGAGGAAAGAUACUUCUCCAAGCACAGCUUUUGUAUGGCUCUGACUCUGACAAUCAGUAACAGACCUUAGCUCUACUUGUUUAUUUUUGGUUUUUUGAGACAAGGUUUCUCUGUGUACUCCUGGCUGUCUUGGAACUUGUUCUAUAGACCAGGCUGGCCUUGAACUCAUGGGGAUUGGCCUGUGUCUGCCUCCUAAGUGCUGGGAUUAAAGGCAUGUACCCCCUUCCCCCAUGUGUAGACCUCAGUUUCCCCAUUCACUUCCCACUAAAGGGGAAGCAGUGUUGAUACAGGGCUGCAGCACAGAUCAUAGAUGAACCGGCAGUGCCUUGUGCUUCCAAAAUGUAAAAAACUGUUGAGAAAAUGAAGGAGGGUUACUGAGAGCUAUGGGUGGCCUGGACCUGGGCAGCCCUGGGACGUACCUAGGCUAGGCUCUCCCACUCUCUUAGGUAAUGAUUCCCUGACCUUCCACAUACUGACCUCAGUGGAUGAAUGGAUGACUUUGUUUCCUGUUCAGCAAGGAAACAAAAGCCAUUAAAAGAGGUCUGUGCAAGUGUCUACCUCUCCAUCAAUUUCUGCAUUAGUACCCUAUCUAAGUACUCUUGCCUCUCUGCUGAUGGAUACAGCUUGUCUCAUCUGUGUCUGGAUACAGAAUGUUCUGUGCUGACUGCCCAGUGUCAGCCUUGCCUCUCUUCCUUAGCUUCUUCAGCACACUCUACCCUCAGUGUGCCAGCAACACUUUACCUAAAAACUAUUCUCUUGAUCAUGAUUCUAUUUUCCUUUCAUUCCCUUUAAACAAGUGACGAAGCAGAGAUAUGAUACACCAAACUCUCAUAAGAACAGACAGGAAAGAGAGGCUACUUAGGAGCAGCCCAGGGGCAGAAGAGAGAAAGAGGUGAGGACAGUUUUACAGAGAGCAGCUAGACAUAGGGGUGGUGUGUGUGUGUGUGUGUGUGUGUGUGUGUGUGUGUGCAUGGCAGUCUUACCAGGACAGUAUUACAGAUACAGGUUACAGAGAGAACAAGCUAGACACAGGUGAAGACAGAACUAGCCAGAGAAUGACGAGGAGCCAAAAGAUUAGAACAGAUUGCCAGAGUUAGCUGGAAGCCAAGCAGAGCCAUUCAGUCAGAAGCAGAGAGAAGCUUCUGUCAGUUUGAAUCAGUCAGCUCAGGGAAAAGUUUGGCCCAGAACACCUUAGUUGAACUAGUUAGCCAUUGUCUCCUCUCUCUCUCUGUCUCUCUGUCUCUCUCUCUCACACACACACACACAGAGCAAUGUCUCUUCUUUCAGCGUACUGUGCUCCUCAGCACUCCACCUCUCUGCACUCCUCUGCACUCCCUGCCUCCUUUAUAUGUGCCCCAAUCCUGAUACCCAAGUGUCAAAACAGAGCCCUCUGUCUCCUCUUCUCCACUCAGAGGGAAUACAUUCAGUCUCUCUCCUUUGCAUCUCUCGGGUAUACCAAUGCUCUUAAAGUCUGCAUCUGCAGCUCUGACUACCGCUCAAGUACUCUGUCUGAUCUAAAGUUCAUGUGUCUGUGAGCACAGUCCUGAAGCCACAUCUCAGAAGCUUCCCAUGCAGCUGAGACACCAGCCGCAAACCAUGCCCCUGGGUUGUUAUCAAAUCCUCUUUUGCAAGUGGCAAUCCCAGUCUUCCGCAGCUUCGGACACCCAUACUGUUCCCCUACCUUCAGAGGGUAACCAGAACCUGUCUGCUGUUCUGAAUCGUGUUCACAGCUUCUAUCUACUUUGUCAUCCUCUCCUGCCUAGACUCUUACCAUGGCAUCCUCCUGGAGUCCCUGUUUGUGCCCACACCCUUUGUACUGUAUGUUCAAUGUAAUAGCUCAAGUGAUAUGUGAAAAGGUCAAAGCCUGUCCCUCCUCUACCUUCCUGUGACUUCCCAUCACCAUUGAAGUAAAAGUUAAAAUAUAUACAAGGGAGCCAGCAAGAUGGCUCAGUGGGUAAAGGUAACUGUUGUGUAACCCUGAUAGUCCAAGUUCAAUCCUGAGACCCUACAUCAAGGUAUACAGAAAGAACCAUCUCCAUAAAGCUGCCUUGCCCUCUGACCUCUGCACACAUGCCACACAUAAUAAUCAAUAUAAAAUGUAAAAGUAUAUCCAAGCACCCAUACACCUGGUUCUUUUGUGCCUCUCUCACACUCCACCAAAGCAUACAGCCACCGGGACUCUCCUCAGGCUCUGCAGGCUUCUCUUUCAGUUUUUUUCUGGCACCAUCAAUGAGGUCUUUUCUGAAUGCUGUCUAAAAUGGCAGCUGAGCAUCAGCUCUGUCCCCACCCUGUCCUUUCUUCUUCCCUUUGGCCCUCCAUUGUUUUGUUUGUUACCUCCUCCUCCCCCUCCAUCUUCCACCACAGUGCUCCCAGGAAGGAAUUCUUCUCUGCUGUGCACCUGGCAUUGAACAAUUACUCAAUAAAUACUAAUGGAAUCCACAAAUGAGCUACCUACCUUCUAUAACAGGCAGUGUGCGGAUUCAGUGUGACUCAGAUAGCAGGGAAUGACAUGGCUAUGUGGCUGAUGAACUUAACAGCUAGAGACAAACCCCACAUCAGUCAGCUACUACUCACCAAACACAAGAGGGAAGGAAGGAAGGCGAGCAGGGAAGGAGAGUGGGAGGGGAAGGGAGGGUUUGCAGGCACAGUGGAGGACAGAACGAAACCUGUAAGGAAAACACCACAGAACAAGGAAAUUCUUUUUUCUUUUUCUUUUCUUUUGUUUUUUGUUUUUUGGGUUUUUUUUUGUUUCUCAAGACAGGAGACAGGGUUUCACUGUAUAGCCCUGGCUGUCCUGGAACUCACUUUGUAGACCAGGCUGGCCUCGAACUCAGAAAUCCACCUGCCUCUGCCUCCUGAGUGCUGGGAUUAAAGGCGUGCACCACCACCGCCCAGCGAACAAGGAAAUUCUUAAGAUUUUUCAAACUGACUCUGCUACGAAACUUUAGACCCUCAGGAUCAGGGUCAACAAACAGAUCUGUAAGUUGGAAAGGAGCCUGCAGGACCACAGAAACUGACAGCAUGUGUUAUUUUACCACAACAGGACAGACUCGUGCAUGAAAUGGCAAAGUGAGAUGUGCACAGUGUGUGCAGAAAGCAAAAUUAAAGACAAAGUUGCCUGUGACCAUAAUGGAUAAAGAUAGGAAAUACAACAAAAAAAGCAAAUAGAAGCAGAAAUAAAUGUACUGUCAUACAAGUGACAUUCCUGAGGCAAGGUGCCUGACAGGGAAUGAGGACAAAAAGCAGAGUGUGAAGCUUGAAGAGCUUUCAGGCCCAGGGCUGCACAGAAGCUGGUGUCAGGAGCAGUGAACACUUCUGCUAGGACACUGCUCUUCCAGAGGACCCACGCAUGGUUCCUGGCCAUCUCAAAACAACGCAAAAGACUGAGACAACAGAAAGGACAGUAAGUGAGCAGAGAUGGGAGGAAUGGGGAAACUCUAACUGCAAAGAUGUGCCCCAAGGAAUUUAUCACGUGUGGUAGAGCUUGUCCUAUGGCACUUGCUCCUUUAGGGUGGGAGAUGCAGAUAGACAGGGCCCUGCCUUUACAACACUGCAUCCCAAAAGGGAGCCAGUUGUGGGGUGGAGACACUGUUAGGUGCUGUUAGGUGCUGAGGAGUGCUGUUGCAGGAUAUUUGAUCACACUGUGAACCCCGAGAUUGUGUUAUUUACUGAAAAACACCUGUUUCUAGUUGUAGUGUGGUUCGUCCUUAACACACACCUUUAAUCCCUCUGGCUAGAAUAUAGAAAAGUCCUUAAUAUACAUCUUUAAUCCAAAGCAAUGUAGGUAAGGUUAGUUUGUAGAAGGAAGCAGUCAAGUUUGAAAGUCUAACUGAGGGGCAGACAAAGUGACGAAUCCGAGAAAGAUCUGACAGAAUGAAUCAGAGAUAGGCUAUUCCCAACUCUCACAAGAAAAGGCCUAGAGGUUACUUAAGAGAGCACCACAGAAAAGAGAGAAAGAGAAAGGGGCAGUUUUACUUGGACAGUUACAGAAAGAUGGGUUGCAGAGAGAGAGAACAAGCUAGACACAGAAGACAGAAUGAGCCAGAAGAUGAGAACAUAUUGCCAAAGUCAGUACACGAUCAAGAAGAGCAAUUCAGUGAAGAGGCUGAGAGAGAAAGAGACAGAAUCAGUCGGCUUGAGCCAGAACAGCUGAGUUGAACCAGCCAGCCAGAGCUCAGAAAGAACUGGAAAAGGUAAGCUUAUUCAGCAGUAAGUCUCAAAGGUUGGAAACAUUCUAGAACUAGAUAAGAUUGUAUGGAGGCCAGAAGCUUCCAGGACUAGGGCGAGGUUAGCAGAUUGUGGCAGUAAGCCUCAGAGACAACAAUUACUUCAGGAGAACAGAAGCUACUUUUACAGAGUGCCAAGGAAGACAGCAAAGCUAAAAGAAGAACACGGGUUUGGAAAGGAGUAGGCACUGUUUUGCCGGGCCUCUUGCAAGGCUCCAUUUGACCAGCACCAUGAGGGCACAGAAGCCAGCAUGGCUGUCUAUGGGAACAGUGAGGGUAACUGAUGGAACAGCAAGGGCACAUCACAUGGUUAAUGUGCAAUGAGGGAGAGCAAGGAGCUAAUGCUGAGGCAUCUAUAUACAAUAAAUAAUCAAGAAAUGGAAGCCUGUGCCUACACAGGGGUCUUGGCUGGACUUUCACAUUUGUGCACACUGCAGGUGAAAAGGAAAGAGCCUUGUAGAUAAAAGGCACAAUAAAACAGGGAGGGACAGAGAUUAGUGUCAACAUCUGCAGAGCAGUGUGAGCUCUAGGUGUGAUGCCCAGAUACAAAAUAAAACUAAUAAAUAAAUGCAUAAGUACAUACAUGAGAGGAGAAGCCAGCCAAGAUGCUGGAGACUAUUAAAAGCUUGAGAGAUCAGAGGUUAGAAUGUUCCACCAGUAGGUCAGAUUAUAAUUAUUUGAUUUUAACUACUGAAAAAUCACUUUAUAAAGUUAAACAGCACAAAACAGAAUCUAAGUUAUUCUCCUGAAGUACUAUCGAAUUGCUUUUUAUUAAGAAACAAGGCAGCUGGGCUGUGGCGGCGCACACCUUUAAACCCACUGACUGCUCUUCCAAAGGUCCUGAGUUCAAAUCCCAGCAACCACAUGAUGGCUCACAACCAUCCGUAAUGAGAGAUCUGAUGCCCUCUUCUGGAGUGUCUUAAGUGUACUUACAUAUAAUAAAUAAAUAAAUCCUUUGGGUUUUUUUUUUUUUUUUUUUUUUUUUUGGUUUUUCUCUGAACAGCCCUGGCUAGCCUCAAACUUGGAAAUCCACCUGCCUCUGCCUUCCAAGUGCUGGGAUUAAAGGCGUGCGCUACCACUGCUCAGCAUAAAUAAAUCUUAAAAAAAAAAAGAAACCAAACCAAAACAAAAACCCCCAAAUUUAAGAAGGCAAUUGGUUCAAGAGAACCAAUGAAAAGCGACAUUAGACACUCUGUACAUUACCUAUCGGUUUUACAACAGAAACUACAACUCCUACGACAUCCACUUCAGAACAAGGAGGCUGAAAGGCUGGGUCUGACAGUCUGCUGAAGUGAAGGGACUCCCUGGGCUGGUAAACCUGGAGUAAAGUCUCACUGGAAACCUGCAGGAAGCAGAACAAAGAAUCAGCAUAUUGAGGCUCUAAGAAGGGCUCUGCAUUGAUCAAGGUGGAAACUGCAUAAGGAGAGGUGCAGACCGGCAGCUGUUGAUACUGAGUUCUUUUUGUGGCUGUUAACUGGAUGCUGGGCCGUUCAAAUUUACUCUUCGAUUUUGACACUGCAAGAUGAUAGAUUCUGUAUCUCUUUCCUUCUGUUAACAGGGAGGAUAAGUCUGAUGAUGGACGCCAGAUACUCAACAGAGCUGUUCAGAGAAAGGGACAUGACAGAAUCAAGGACUUGCCACAGAAAUCCUCCUGAAAGAUGCAGUAUUUCAACAUGGGCUUGCUCUAAUGGCCAGCAGGAGAGAGCUUCCCAGUGGGCUGGGGACUGAGGCUCGUCACCUGGCUCUUCCUCACCUCAAGGUGAUCUGGGUCUGAUGCAUACUGCACUGCUGCAUAGAGCUCUGCUCCAUCCUGCAGAGCAUGGACUUGCUGCCGUG